rnacentral:tRNA from 1 species
GCCUGGGUGGCUCAGUCGGUUGGGCGUCUGACUUCGGCUCAGGUCAUGAUCUUGCAGUCCGUGAGUUCGAGCCCCGCGUCAGGCU